GAUACCCAAGUAGGCCGCUGUCGAAAUUCAUUUAAUAUCAGAACCCUGAUUUCGAUUCCUAAUCCGAUGCAGAUUUAGACUCCGGCCGAGACUGGCCAGCAGUUUCAGGUUACCACGCAUGUGGCUUUUUCAAGUCGUUCUCCAUUUGUCGCCUGGCACUUUUCUAACUUGCUGUGGGAAAAGGAGUGGCGUGGCGCUGGAGGAUGGGAUUGGGACUGGGAUUGCGGGGAUACUCGAGAAGAGGGUUGAGAAGCGUGAGAGCCGACAACAAACUGCGCCUGCGCACGCGUUCAAUUAGCUGCAAAUUGCAAAUCGUGCGGCGCAUGCGCAACGUCCCGAUGCGAUGUCGCCACAAACGGCGGCAACAUGUUGCUGCUGCUGCUGCUGCAACAGCGCACAGGAAGAAAAUAUGCGGCUCGAUGCGAUGGAGUAACUCUAAAAAUAAGAAAUCGAAUGAAAGUUCUCAAAAGUAUUGCUCUGAUCUUUUGAACACUUUAAU
ensembl:ncRNA lncRNA:CR43648 long non-coding RNA:CR43648